rnacentral:rRNA from 1 species
AACGAACGCUGGCGGCAUGCCUAACACAUGCAAGUCGAACGAACCCUUCGGGGUUAGUGGCGCACGGGUGCGUAACGCGUGGGAAUCUGCCCUCUGCUUCGGAAUAACAGUUAGAAAUGACUGCUAAUACCGGAUGAUGUCUUCGGACCAAAGAUUUAUCGGCAAGGGAUGAGCCCGCGUAGGAUUAGGUAGUUGGUGGGGUAAAGGCCUACCAAGCCGACGAUCCUUAGCUGGUCUGAGAGGAUGAUCAGCCACACUGGGACUGAGACACGGCCCAGACUCCUACGGGAGGCAGCAGUGGGGAAUAUUGGACAAUGGGCGCAAGCCUGAUCCAGCAAUGCCGCGUGAGUGAUGAAGGCCUUCGGGUCGUAAAGCUCUUUUACCAGGGAUGAUAAUGACAGUACCUGGAAAAUAAGCUCCGGCUAACUCCGUGCCAGCCGCCGCCGUAAGAC